GAUGAACGCUGGCGGCGUGCCUAAUACAUGCAAGUCGAGCGAACAGACGAGGAGCUUGCUCCUCUGACGUUAGCGGCGGACGGGUGAGUAACACGUGGAUAACCUACCUAUAAGACUGGGAUAACUUCGGGAAACCGGAGCUAAUACCGGAUAAUAUAUUUAACCGCAUGGUUCAAUAGUGAAAGACGCUUUUUCUGUCACUUAUACAUCGAUCCGCGCCGCAUUAGCUAGUUGGUACGGUAACGGCUUACCAAGGCAGCGAUGCGUAGCCGACCUGCGAGGGUGAUCGGCCACACUGGAACUGAGACACGGUCCAGACUCCUACGGGAGGCAGCAGUAGGGAAUCUUACGCAAUGGGCGAAAGCCUGACGGAGCAACGCCGCGUGAGUGAUGAAGGUCUUCGGAUCGUAAAACUCUGUUAUUAGGGAAGAACAAAUGUGUAAGUAACUAUGCACGUCUUGACGGUACCUAAUCAGAAAGCCACGGCUAACUACGUG
rnacentral:rRNA from 1 species